UUGUAGAAAGACAUUAAAGGCUGGAAUGGCUUCUAUACAUACGCUGUCUGUCAUAAUGGCCUGUAUAUCUUUGCUCUAUUUUGAAGCAACAGAUGCAUUGCGACUGCCACAAUUUUGUCACAGGCGACUAGUCAUUGGUCAUUGCCAGUAUCACAGAGCCUGCUACUGCGACCACCGUUUAAGGUUUGGAUGGCGACGUCCUAAUCUAUUUUUCUACAACAAGCGCACCAAUAGGUGUGAAAGAAAUGCAGAAAUCUUAAACUGCAACGCAUUCGCCUCUAAGCCUUUAUGUGAGACGACAUGCGUUCUCCCUGAUGCAGCACGGUAGUCAGGCAUUUAGUGGAUUGCCGCACAGAAAUAUAUGUAGCAAUAAAAUGAUUUAGUGUUUUGG